CUGUAACAGAAACAGUUAAUUGAUUGGAGAAAAAAAUUAAAUGUAUCCUUACCAAUGGAGAAAUUCCUAUUAGUACUUGUGGUGAUUACAACAUGCUGUGCUGUACCUCAAGAACUCAGAUGACGCUGUUGUCAUCAAGAGGACUGCGGCAGGCGAACUGGAACAACGUUCCAAGCACCGCAUAGCAAUCUUUGAU